ensembl:lncRNA
UUUUUUGUUUUUUUAAUGGUUUCCUUUGCUGUGCAAAAGCUUGCAAAUGAACCUAUUUGCAAAACAGAAAUAGACGCUGGGACUAGGGGCACAGACUUUGGUUGCCAAGGGGGAGGGAGAUGGAUGGACUGGUAAUUUGGGUGUGGAUGCAAACUAUUAUGACAUUUAGAAUGAACAGACAACAAAGUCCUACUGUACGGCACAGGGAACUGUAGCCAAUCUUCUGGGAUAAUCCAUAAUAGAAAGGAAUAUUUUAAAAAGAAUGUAGGAGUUCCUGUUGUGGCUCAGCAGGUUAAGAAUCUGACUAGUACCUUUGGGGAUUUGGGUUCGAUCCCUGGUCUCACUCAUUAUGUUAAAGGAUCCAGCAUGGCUGUGAGGUGUAGUGUCGGUUGCAGACACGACUCGGAUCUGGCAUUUAUUUCUGUGAUUGUGACAUAAGCCAGAAGCUGUGGUUCCGAUUCGACCCCUAGCCUGGGAACUUCUAUAUGCCAUGGGUGUAGCCCUAAAAAGACCCCAAAAAUAAAAAGAAUGUAUAUAUGCAUAUAACCAAGCCACUUUGCUGAACACCAGAAAUUAGCCCAACAUUGUAAAUCAACUAUACUUUAAUUUUUUAAAAAAUGGCAAAUCUGACCCUACUGGGUUGGUUUUCCUAAAGAAGAUAAAAUACCAGAAGCAUGGUCAUCUAGACGACUGUUCAGAUGUCAUUUCCUGAAAGGAAUGCUCAUCACGUCAUCCACUCUGCACUCAUCCUGGCAUCAUUCUGCACCGUGUGGCUGCCAUGGCAGUGAAGGAGCUGACUAGCAGAUGGCUGCAUUCAUGGGAGCUUAGAGUCUAGCAGGGGAGCUAGCAAGGAAGCAAGCAAACAGAGGAGACAAAAGCAGAUCGUAUGAGGCUGCAGAGGAAAUAAACACGAAGCUAUGAUAGAGGAAACGUCUGAGGAGGUGCCAAUGAACUGAGGCCCCAAAGUGGAAGGUGAAUCAGCUACAGCAGGAGGUGGAAAAGGGAUUUCGCAAGCAGCGGGAAGAGCUGAGUCAGGAGAACAAUUGCCAUGUUCCAGCAGCAGUAGGGACGUUUUCAAGUGGAUCGCAAAGCGCGAGGAGAGGGCAUAGCAUGAAGUCCAGAGAGACAGGGCAAGACCCAAAUAAUGCAAGAUCUUGUAGACCUAACAGCAGUGGAAGGCAAUUGGAUGGCUUUUCUUCUUCUUCUUUUCUUUUUUGGCCACCCCGAGGCAUGCGGCAUUCCUGGGCCAGGGAUCAGAUCCCAGCUGCAGUUGCGACCUAAACUGCAUGCAGCUGAGGCAACACAGGAUCCUUAACCCACUGUAAUGGGGCAGGGAUCAAACCUGCAGCCAAGUGCUGCCAAGAAGCCACCAAUCGACUCCACUGGCCACAGCAGGAACUCCCCAUUGGAUGGUUUGAGCAGAGGCCAAAUAGGACCUAACUUGUGUCAUAGUAAGGAGUAUUUUGACUGUUGUGGAGAGAAGGCUCAAAGAAAGCAGGGCAGUGGUCCACAUGCAAUAAGCCUGUGGCAGAAAAAUUUGGCAACUCAAGCCAGACCCAGGCUUCAGAGGACUGGAGAAGUGGGUGGAGGGAUGAAUAUCCUGAGAGCUCAGGGCUGCAGCAUCUUGGGAAAAUGCUGAUGGAUUGUCAGAAAUUCCCAAAAGUAGAGCAGCCAGGGAGGAAGGCAGAUGAACCAAGGGCCGUCUGUGAGGGAGAAAGAAGACUCAUGAGCCCCACUCGCGAGGAAACAGAUGCUUCAAACACAUUACAAACAAGCCACAGUAUCUAAUAUUCCAUAGCACUUUUAAAAUUCCCUAUGUAUCCCCUACUCAAAUUCUCACAACAGCUCUGCCGAGUAGCUACAAGGGUUAUCAUGCUUGCUUCUAGAUAAAAAAAUAACCUGAUUUAAUAAAGUAGGAUGUACAAUCAUCGAAAGACAGUUGUGUCCUUCUUCUCAAGCUAGAGCAUUGAUUUGGGGAGGGGAGAGGAGCCCCUUCUUAGUGCUUCCAGGGACCUCAGUCGUUCAGGUCAUGUCUGCAGCGUUUCUGAUUAAGCAACGGGCAAAUUUCUUGAUGGCACUGGUUGCCUUGUGGAAUAGGCAUCUGGAAUCUUUAGAAGAAAAAAGAGAAGGGGAGUUUCCUGGUGGUAGAGUAGUUAGGAUUUGGCAGUUUUACCACUGUGGCCUGGGUUCAGUCCCUGGUCUGGGAAAUGAGAUCCCACAUUAAGCUGCUGCAUGCAACCGGGAAAAAAAAAAAAGACAGAAGAUGAAGGAGAAGAAGAAUAAGAAGGUGGGGGAAGAAGCGAGAGAGAGAGAGAAAGGAAGGAAAGAAAGAAAAGCAGAUAAAAAUCUCCUGAAGCCUUAUUUGCACCACGAGGUCCUGCUCCUCUCAUCCUCGACAAGGCUUGUGUAUUUGGCUUGAAGCUUGAACUGGACCAAUCAAGUUCUAGCACCCAGAGCAUGAGGUUGGGCUGGAGACAAAGAAAUAGUAGGUGGUCUUUCUGCUCCCUAGCAAACGGGGCACCAUGGCAGCUACUUGAAUGCUGUGGAUAGAUAGAGUCAAGAAAACUCCCCCAUGGAGGGAGAAAAGGGCAUUCAGUGACACCUUUAGGAAACAGAUACCAGCAGUUGUGUGGUUCUUGCGAGUUCCCUCUUUCUUGCCCCACCUCGAAUCCUUGGAUUCUGUGAACUAUCCCUGUGGACUUCCAACAACGUCGCCCUUUUCACUUGUUAGAAUAGUUUUCUACUCCUUGACGCCAAAAGAUUCUUGUUACCUGGGAGCCAAAUGCCUAAAGUUCCACAUCUAUAUCAGCAUUUAUUCAAAAAGUCAUAUGUGGCCUGUGUGGAUAAAGAAGAAAGAGACCCAGGUUGUUUUGCCACAAAACGGAAGAGUCCUGCCAUCUUUGUCUUGGCACCUACCUUUAUAUUAUGUUUUAUAUCAGUCCUAAAAGCAGUUGUUAAAAAAGAAGGAGAAGAAGAAGAAAUAAAUUCUAAUAACUUUCUGCCAUCCCUUGUUCACGUGAGUUGAAAAUGGCCUAAGCUAAUAAUAAAGCUUCCAAAUUUCCAUUUCUUCAGCAGAGCUUGAAUGCACCUGGAACUCUCUUUCAAGUUAAUAGGAGCCCUAAAUGUGAGCUGGCUACGCAAAGCGCCUAAAUGUUGGCGCUCCAUCCCAAGUGUUCUCCGUAUGUGCGCCCUUGGAAGGUGUGGCAGAGUGAGUGCGAGGUGUUAAUGCUUAAUGUUCAAUUUCCUUCUUUAGGAGAUUCAAACUGUACCCACAUGGUCUCAUAAAAAGGCUUAAUUCAAAUUUCUCUGAAAUUGCAAAGGCAGGAUCCUUCCUUAUCUUACAUAUGGAAAAACCGGUAUUAAAACCAAAGCAUGCAAAUUGUGCUUUAGAAGUGGGGAUAGUGGACUAGGAAGGUCAAGAUUAGCUUUUUUUUAACUGGCAUAUAUUUCAAGAAAAUAUAGCCCGAUGGUUUGUUUUUCUCAAAAUCUUACAAGAGCCCUUUGAUGCUUUUCUGCUUGUAGAAGCCUGACACAUUUGUCACGCAUACAGCCAGUGACUCAUGUAUAUCAUCCCAUCAACAACAGCCUUCUUUUUCAUGGAACCAUAAAGUUUCCUUGUGGGUAGAAUUUCUCAUCUCCAGAAUCCAAAAAGAGGUGGAUCGCUCUAAUUUUGACAACUUCCCUAACCUUUAAAAUGCACCCCAACAAUUAUCACGAUAGUUAUCCUUUAUCCAGUACAUUUGAAGAUGUCUGUAUUAAGCACCCACUGUAUGCCAAGCAUGGUACUCAUUUAUCACUUUAUAUCCAAUGAGGGGACGAAGAAGAAUGCAAGAGGGCUAGGGGUGUAAACAUGAGCUGUGCUAACGCAGAGGGAAGAACCUUGCAAGCAUUUGUUCACAGGAUUUAAAAUGAGGUAGAGUGCAUACUUUCAUCACCCAGCCUGUGAACCUUUGAGAAUCUGAGGGCAUUCAAGUGCCUGAGCAUCUGCAGCUAUCUCAGGAACUCUCGUAUGCUGGUCCAUGUAAGACUGGUCAACCUUUUUGGUUUUGUCAAUAUUCUUUGGGGCGGAGGGCUGCACCCACCAAAAAUGUUCCUGGACUAGGGAUCAAACCUGCACCACAGCAGCAACCUGAGCCACAGAAGCAACAAUACCGGAUCCUAACCCACUGAGCCACCAGGGAACUCCCUUGUCUGCCCUCUUAAGAAAGUAAAUGCCAGGAGUUCCCAUUGUGGCUCAGCAGGUUAAACCUGACUAGCAUCCAUGAGGAUGUAGUUCGAUCCAUGGCCCAGCGUUGCUGUGAGCUCUGGUGUAGGUCACAGACCUGGCCCGGAUCCUGCAUUGCUGUUGUUGUGGUGUAAGCUGGCAGCUACAGCUCCAAUUCUGAUUCGACCCCUAGCCUGGGAACUUCCAUAUGCUGCAGAUGCAGCCCUAAAAAAAAGCAAAAAAGGGAUAGAAAAUAUCCCGUUUGAUAGUUAGGCGAGUAUUUAUUUUUAAACAGAUGGUAGUAAAUCUUUAAGGUGGAAGAAACAGAAUGAGCAGAUAGGAGGGAGACUUGUGUUUAAUAUGCAGGGAAAGCAAUGGCAACAGUGGAGUGGGCUUAGCCCUGCCCACCCCGCUCCCUGGGCCAAUGAGCGUAGCCCUGGCGGUCACGUGUGAGCGUUUUGCUGCCAAGCCUCUACCUGUGCAUUUUGUGUAGAGAUGGGGGGAGGAGGGGGUUGGGGAGCAGACGGUGCAGCUACAGGAGAAACAAGGCACUGUUUCUGGGAGCCUUGAUUUUACCCAAAGAUUUGAGGAUUUAUAUCGUAAACAAUUAGCACAAUUCAGAUAAAAUAUGAGACCUAAAGACAUUGAGGGCUUGACACAGGCUCUUCGGAGCAAUUUGUUUAACCUGACACGUACCUCUUCACACACAUGCACAUGCACACGCACACAUACACGACACUAGUUUAAUUUCGGGGGCCACUAAUGAAAAGAAUUUGAUUGGUUUUGUGGAACAGUGGCAUAAUCAAUGAGCUAUCUGGAGGGUAUUAGUCUGAGCACUCACCCCUAAGGUUAACAAAGGGGAACAAGAGUGGCAGCAGAGAAUGGGUAAGAAAAUGGUCCUCGGUCUAGAUAUGAGAUGAAACAGACAUCUCUGUGAGAGGUGGCCGUGACUCUAGCAAAGCGGGAAUCCAAAGGACUCGAUUGUAGAUACUGGAGCGAGAAGUAGCAGAAUGUGAAAAGUAGUUCCACAGUUUGGGGCUUUGGGGCUUAAACCUUGCUCAAGCCUUGGAUGUCGGCCAGGUUCCCAGUUUCUGCUCCACUUCUUUCAUCUGUCUGAUUUUUGCUCCGGGAUCUGCCCAGGAACGUCGCCCCCGCUUUGUUCAUUGAGAUGAAUGUUGAAAGGUUGUUGUGGAACGGCAGAACUUUGUUUGCUAAGUCUGGUAAGCAGAUCCUCCUGGUCUCCUUAGAUUUCAUGCCUUCUUCCUCGAGCAUCCUUAGUUCAAAGAGCAAGAAUUGAGAUUGUUGUUUUUGUUACAUGGCCGAAACUACCCUAUGGCAUGUGGAAGUUGCUGGGCCAGGGAUUGAAU